rnacentral:rRNA from 1 species
AUGCAGAUCUUCGUGAAGACGCUGACGGGGAAGACCAUCACCCUAGAGGUGGAGAGCAGCGACACGGUCGACAACGUCAAGGCCAAGAUCCAGGACAAGGAAGGCAUCCCUCCGGACCAGCAGCGCCUCAUCUUCGCGGGGAAGCAGCUGGACGAUGGCCGCACCCUGGCCGACUACAACAUCCAGAAGGAGUCCACGCUGCACCUUGUGCUUCGCCUCCGCGGGGGCACCAGGAUCGAGCCCAGCCUCAAGGAACUCGCUCAGAAGUACAACCAGAAGAAACUGAUCUGCCGCAAGUGCUAUUCACGCCUGCCGCUCAGGGCUACGAAUUGCCGCAAGAAGAAAUGUGGCCACAGCAACCAGCUACGGCUAAAGUCGAAAAGGCGUUGGUUCUGUUGA